rnacentral:rRNA from 1 species
UACGUAGGUGGCAAGCGUUGUCCGGAUUUAUUGGGUUUAAAGGGUGCGUAGGUGGUCAAUUAAGUCAGUGCUGAAAUAUCCCAGCUUAACUGGGAGGGUGGCAUUGAUACUGAUUGACUUGAGUGGAGUUGAGGUAGGCGGAAUUGACGGUGUAGCGGUGAAAUGCUUAGAUAUCGUCAAGAACACCGAUAGCGAAGGCAGCUUACCAAGCUCUAACUGACACUGAUGCACGAAAGUGUGGGGAUCAAACAGG